GACGAACGCUGGCGGCGUGCCUAAUACAUGCAAGUCGAACGCAGUGGGGACGGGUGAGUAACACGUGGGUAACCUCCCAUCAGAGGGGAUAACACUUGGAAACAGGUGCUAAACCGAUACUGAUGGAUGGACCCGCGGUGCGUGAGCUAGCUGGUGAGGUAACGGUUCACCAAGGCCACGACGCAUAGCCGACCUGAGAGUGUUAUUGGCCACACUGGGACGGAGACACGGCCCUGACUCCAACGGGAGGCAGCAGUAGGGAAUCUUCGGCAAUGGACGAAAGUCUGACCGAGCAACGCCGCGUGAGUGAAGAAGGUGUUCGGAUCGUAAAACUCUGUUGUUAUGGAAGCGGUAUCUAACCAGAAAGCCACGGCUAACUACGUGCCAGCAGCCGCGGUAAUAC
rnacentral:rRNA from 1 species